rnacentral:rRNA from 1 species
UACUGGCGCGCUGACCAGCAUGCGCGCGUGUCGGAGAAGGCCUUCGGGUUGUAAAGUACUUUCAGCGGGGAGGAAGGGAGUAAAGUUAAUACCUUUGCUCAUUGACGUUACCCGCAGAAGAAGCACCGGCUAACUCCGUG